rnacentral:tRNA from 1 species
GGUUUUAUAUUCAAAUAUGAUUCUAGACUGCAAUUCUAGAGGUGUAAAAAAUUUUACUAAGGCCU